rnacentral:lncRNA from 1 species
GGAGCUCCCGAGGAAGUACUGGUUCUCGAUGUAGAUGAAGCUCCGCGCCCUCCUAAUGGCGGCGAUGUAGGCGUCCUGGAUGCUCCGGUCGAUGAUCUGGUCCUUGCCGCUGACGAGGCCGGCGCGGGCGGCGUCCUCGGGGGUGUCCGGGAAGCCGAACGCGGCGCCGCCGUCGAUGGAGCGGAACAGCUGCACGUUCCACGACUCGGCGUCCUCCGGGAACAUCGCCGGCGACGGCGGGAUGACCGUCUCGGCGAGGUCCCGGAGCUGGACGAGGAGGUCCUUGCCGCCCUGCUUGCGCCACCGCUGCUCGAAGUUGUAGAGCACGUCCCACGCCACGGGGCCCUCGAGGCGGCAGUGGAUGUCGUGCCACGGCUCG